rnacentral:rRNA from 1 species
ACGGAAGGCAGCAGUGGGGAAUAUUGGGCAAUGGGGGAAACCCUGACCCAGCAACGCCGCGUGAAGGAAGAAGGCUUUCGGGUUGUAAACUUCUUUUACCAGGGACGAAGGACGUGACGGUACCUGGAGAAAAAGCCACGGCUAACUACGUGCCAGCAGCCGCGGUAAUACGUAGGUGGCAAGCGUUGUCCGGAUUUACUGGGUGUAAAGGGCGUGUAGGCGGAGAUGCAAGUCAGAAGUGAAAUCUAGGGGCUUAACCCCUAACCUGCUUUUGAAACUGUAUCCCUUGAGUAUCGGAGAGGCAGGCGGAAUUCCUAGUGUAGCGGUGAAAUGCGUAGAUAUUAGGAGGAACACCGGUGGCGAAGGCAGCCUGCUGGACGACAACUGACGCUGAGGCGCGAAAGCGUGGGUAGCAAACAGGAUUAGAUACCCUGGUA